GACACAGUCUUGUCAAUGUUAGGAAACGUGAAAGAACACAGAAGAAAUGUUCAUGUGGGAGUGAAGGAGCUGACAAGCGAAUGUGAGGACCAGCAAUAGCUUUUAGUCCUACCACCUUUCAUGUGCCAGGAGGCCUUUUUGCCUAGGAAACCCAGGAGGACGGAGCUCUUCGAGCCUUGUUCAUGGACAUCCUGGGCUUGCUGGAUGUCUGUCUGAGAGAAAUGACCCAACUCCUGUGGCCAAGGCUGCUGCAGUACGUGGUGCCAGCCCAGUAUAGUGGCAUGCUGAUCCUGCUUUCCCACUGUCUAAGCCCUAGUUGAUGGGAGAGACCAGGGUGCAAGGAGGAAGAGAAGGAGCCAGAUGCUAUGGAGUCCCAGGAGCAAGGCUGUUUGCAAAUGCAUCCCUCCAGCACAGGCUACAGGCUUUCUGACUGCCAUCCUGGACAGCUUGCUGCAUAUUACACCCACAUGUGCAAGAGCAGUGUGGGAGUGGUUGUUCGUCUUCCUGGUGGAAUGCAGAACAGAAAUACUCCAGCAGGUGCCAAAAAUCUUGAACACCCUCUACAUCUACAUGCAGCAGAGCACCCACAGGCCCUUCUCUCUCCAUGCGGUAUUUCUCCUCACCAACUUUCACUGGGAGCCCAUGAUCAGCAGUCUCCUCCAGAAAGGUUUGUCAUGGACAGAUCAGCUGUGCCAUCUCCGAGGUGGUGCUUGCCCUGAGGAGCAUGGAGGAGCUCAAGCAACUGCUUCCCCACCUCCUUUCCAGCCUUCUGAGGUGGGUCAGUGAAAUGCUGGGUGAGGAG